UACGUAGGGUGCAGGCGUUAAUCGGAAUUACUGGGCGUAAAGCGUGCGCAGGCGGUUUCUUAAGUCAGAUGUGAAAGCCCCGGGCUUAACCUGGGAACUGCGUUUGAAACUGGGAGACUUGAGUGUGGCAGAGGGGGGUGGAACUCCACGUGUAGCAGUGAAAUGCGUAGAUAUGUGGAGGAACACCGAUGGCGAAGGCAGCCCCCUGGGUUAACACUGACGCUCAUGCACGAAAGCGUGGGGAGCAAACAGG
rnacentral:rRNA from 1 species